UACGUAGGGACCGAGCGUUGUCCGGAUUCAUUGGGCGUAAAGAGCUCGUAGGCGGCUGUUCAAGUCGAACGUGAAAACUCGGAGCUCAACUCCGAGCCUGCGUUCGAUACUGGACGGCUAGAGUCUGGUAGGGGGAUCUGGAAUUCCUGGUGUAGCGGUGAAAUGCGCAGAUAUCAGGAGGAACACCGGUGGCGAAGGCGGGUCUCUGGGCCGAAACUGACGCUGAGGAGCGAAAGCGUGGGGAGCAAACAGG
rnacentral:rRNA from 1 species